AGCCUUGUCGCUCCAAUCAGAAAGCAAUUUGAGAGGACUCAUUGCAAAAGCUCAAAGAAUCAGAUGCCUUAGAACAACUUAAGCGAGAGGUGGCAAAGCCAGGGGCACGAAUUGGUUCCUUCACUGAAAGGUUUCAGAAGGCUGUAAAGGAAGGCAUGGAAAAUGCCAACCAAAAGAAACGGUGAUCCGUACAAAAGCAUACGUAUUAGCCAAAAAAUGUAUAAACAAUAGCUAUUGAUAAAUAGAAGCAUGCAGAUACCCAGCCUAAGCUAUAUCAAUUGUUAGAAUGGAUAUCGAUUGUGUAUGUACAGAGUCCGUGCUAAGAAGAUUCAUUCUUGAUCAAGCAGUGGUUCCAAUAGACAUAGCACAUAGUUUUCUUUCUGAAAUAUAUAGCCAGAGAGGUUCUAUUAGCAAGUCAGCUUAGCAAUGUCAUAUAUCUUUGCUGAGAUUCUGGUAUUUUAUCAGGAGUAGCUAAUGCGAUUUUAGUGAACAUUGUGAAUUAUUAUUAAACAUGAACAAAUAAAUAUUUAUUGUUAGCUGCAGUUAGCAAGUCUAUUCGUUUGUAAAUUAAAGGGUUUGUUUGAUGCGUGCUUGAUUAUGUAUACGCAUUGAAGAAAGAAAUAAGAGUUUGAUGACAAAGUA